AUUUUUGGGUCAGAUUGAACGUUUUUCAGUAGUUUAAGACAUGCAAAUCGUUGUUUCCAACGUCCUUUUUAUAAUUAAUAUUAUAAUGUCAAUGGGAUUAGGGGAUAAGGUGUAGAGGUGAGUAUGUUAAAUAAGAUACCCUAUAGUCUUCUUAGCUAGGAGAUAUAAAGUAAAGGAAAAUUUCUGCUGUGGGAUUCUAUUUAAUUUGAUUAGGUAGUUGAUAGGGUAACGGCCUACCAAGCCAACGAUCAAAAGUCAAGUUUGAAAGAACCUCUGGCCACAUUGGGGAUGAAAUCUCCCAAGUAGUAAUAACACUACCAGCAGUCGAGAAUAUUAGUCAAUGCUCGUAAGAGUGAACUAGCUAACUGAAAUCAUAGAAUUUCUUUAAAUUCAUGAUGUCGUAAGGGAAAAUAAUGAUAAUACCUUACUAUGAGUGUCGUCCAAAGCUGGUGCCAGAAGACUCGGUAAGACCAGAGACGCAAACGUUAAUCAUCAUAAACAGGCGUAAAGGGUUUGUAGGCAGCUUUUAUAAGGUUACGAUUGCAAAUAAAGGGUAAUCUACAUUGAAAGCUAGAAUCAAAAAGAGGUUAUAGUGUAUAACGCCUAGAGGAGGGCUGAUAUCCAUAGAUCCUAGGCAGAAUACUCAGGGCGAAGGCCACUCUCCAUUAAUGAUUGACGCUGAGAAACGAAGGUUAGGGUAGGAAAUAGGAUUAGAUACCCCGGUACUCCUUUCUGUAAACGAUGAAUGGUAGUCAUUAGUUUAAUUAAAUAACUAGAGGCGAAGUUAACACAAUAACCAUUCCGCCUUGUGAGUACUACUUAGGAGUAUUUUAUCAUUUAAAUACUUAAGUACAGGUGUUGCAUGGCUGUCUUCAGUUCGUGUUGUUAAACAUUAGGUUAAUUCCACUAACGAACGAAAUCCCUGUUAUUAAUUUACACUUACUAACUAAUGAAUCUGAUAGAGAUUUAGCGGGGGCUAAGACAAGUCGUUAUGGCCCUCAUGUUCUGGGCUGAUAUGUGUUUUGGGAAAACACUAAAUUGGCUGAAACUAUCAAACUCCGGGGACACCCUAAAGCUUAUGAU
rnacentral:rRNA from 1 species